rnacentral:tRNA from 1 species
GCCAGGAUAGCAAAGUGGAUAAUGCGAUAGAUUUAGGAUCUAUUAUUUUGGGGUUCGAUUCUCUUUUCUGGUU